rnacentral:miRNA from 1 species
ACGGGUUUGCAAGCCACAUAUA